rnacentral:lncRNA from 8 species
GCAAUUUAUCACAAUAAACUCUACUUCAGGCGAGCAAAAUCUAGAGACUCACAGUUAAGAGGCUCACAGUUAACUGUUCAUUAAAAGAAACUGUAACAAAGAUGAUGGGGUGUGCCUUUCACCAUCUCAGUAGAGUUUGGUGCCAAGUCUUUACAAAUGGUCCUAGUUAUAUUAAAACAGUCAAACGAGAGUUGCAACUGACCACUAUAUUGGUUUUAGUGAGCACGGUUCACAUAAGAAGUGUAACAAUUAUUUGUCACCUUGAAUGAGUUCCUUUGAAAAUGUGGGUGUCUCAAAGGUACGCUGAACAUGCAGUUCAGUUUGAGGCAAAACUAUUUUCCUGAAAGCCCAUUCUGAACUGAUAGGCCUUACAGAUGUAGUAAAUUGGUGGAAAUUGUGGAAAUUACAAACUUUAGAAGCCUUCUAAAACUCAAAUACACUACAAGUUUGCAUUUCCUGCUUUGCAGGAAAAUUCUCAGCAACAAAAGAGUGAUCAAAUUAAGAUCCUACAUCUGUACAUGUUGUUUUGGGUCAUACACAGCCCAGCCUAGUCUGAGACACUUACUAGAUUCCUUCACACCGGUCACGCCACACCUGCAACGUGCGGGCAGGAAAAAAUAAGUGACAGGAGUUGGCGAUGAAGUGCAAACACAUCUUAGGGGCCGAGUUCCUGUCCAAGCUGGGACAUGUGAAAGACUUCUCCCACUGGCCGAAGCAGCCUCCCCAUACCCUUUGGCCUCAAGGGAAGCUGGUCUACUUCCUCCCAUUUUUUUUAUCAAAGAAUGUGCCAAUAAGCAGCAAUCGGCAAGAAUGUGAACAACUUUUCCAGUGGUUGGUAGCAGUGGCUCACACAGCUCUGCAGACCCCUAAAAAGGACCCAGGACGGGAGCGCUCAGUUGAACCACCAUGAAGACUGUUAGGAUAGCCCUUCUCAUCCUCCUCCUAACCCCACUCAAGCUCCUCACUACAGCAACUGAGACACCCAAUACAAGUGUUCCUUCUGUCAUUACAUCUGUCCGUACAACCGAUGCUGCUGCCACCGCUGCUGUGACCACACGCAGGACAGAGACCAAAUCUGCCACAGUAACUGCCACAGUAACUGCCACGGAAAAACCAGCAUCAACAACAUCCCAUCUCUCAGUGCGUUCCACAUCUCUACGUGCUAAGGAUGAUGAAAAAGUGGCAGAGACCCAGGCCACAACAACUGUUCCCACGAGUGACCCACUCAAAGAUGUGACCACAGUUCAGCCUAUAUCAAAGACUCACUUACAAGGUAUUCAGACAACCACACAGAGCCAUGGUUUUCCUUCACCAGGAUCCUUGACCACCUCCAGACCAGAAGAGAAAGGUGGUCACCAUGCUGGAGAUGAAGAACCGGAAACUCCUAAAUCAAAUAAGAAGAUGCUGUGGAUUCUUUUGCCAGUCUUGGGAGUUGUGGUGGCUGCUGUCAUCUUCAUUUUCAAAUUUAAAUGCAUGAAGGUCCACGAUCACACAGAGGCAAUUGAUAAUGGAACAGAAAAUGCCUCUUUCCAGAGCAGGUCGGACAGCACCAAAGAUGGUGUCAUGCUUCUCGGGGUGAAGUCCUCAGGUGCUGCUGCACGAUAAAAAGGAGGGCGUCCCAUUCUACAGUAUAUGACCAAUAGCUCUCACAACCCAAAAAAUGGUCAAGACCUUCAACUAUCUAAAAAUGCUGGACAAUCAAAUAUGGCGUAUAAGAAUCCCAAAAGCUAAGUGGGCACAUUCUUAUACUGUAUAGUGUGGAAAGAAGAUUGGUGUGGAGUAUUGUAGGAUAUGGGACUCUUAACUGAACAUGUGUCUGUUAAAAAAUGUUCACUAAGAUACUGUAUAUCAUUUCAAAAAUAUGUACUUCACUGUUUUUUGUAUUCUUAUUUUGAUGGUAAUUUAGCCAAGGAGGAACUGCGAUCUCAAUUUAAUCAAGACUAACAUCCAGACAUUUCAUUCAGGAAAACAAUGCAAGAUUUUGAAUGAAUAUAAAUAAAUUAACCCAAAAGCUCAUUGUCUGGGUGCAAGAGGAUUGUUUGUCUCAUCCCUGUAUUUAAGAUACUGGUUUUGAUUUUAUAUCACACAAACAUGUAUGAAAUCCAAAUGCAUUGAACCUGAAUUCAGCACACAAUUCCUUGGUUCAAACCAGUUAGUGACCAGUACACAUUAUUAAGUGUUUGUAUGCUUUAAAUCUGUUGUAAUAAAUGAUUUAGCUUUCAGUGUAAAUGCCAGGAUUGUAAAGAUUAGCUAUAUUGCCGGUAUGUUUCCUGCUUUUCAACCAGUUUUUGUGUAUAUUAGAGCAAACAAUAAGACUUCCCACUGGUCAAAGAUGAUUUGAAUUUCUCAAAUAAAGAAGAACGUUAUUUGACUGAUCGGCAUUGGUUGAAUAUUUGUUGUUUUGCACCUGUACAUGCUCACGAAAGUUUAUGUUGAUUUUGGAUGUUGAUUUCACCUGGCUACACACCAUAUCUUUAAUGUGCUGAAUUAUGUAACGCAACCAUACAAAAGGCUAUGGAGAAUAAACUAUUCAGUAUAGGAGAGCUGUAGCUCCGCCCACCGGUUAUGUGGAGUAGAGCAUGCUGGGCGAUCUCCAGCUCUGAGGAUAAGGAAGUAACUAGAGAAAAGUCAAGUGAUUAGUUCAAGCCAUCUAUUGUUUUUUCCUUUAGUUAGCAUUAUUUGUUUUACCAAGGCCAGUGUGUGUCCUUCAGAAAUAUGAGUACAUAUUUCUUACUCUUCAUGUGUUAAUGUUGUGGACGUACUCGCUGACAAUUAUGUAGUUUAUCUUUGUUAUGCUAAUUUACGUUUUUGCCACAAAGCUAGCAAAUGCAAGCUUGCUAGCUCGGUUGUUUUUGUCAUCUCAUUUCGGACAUUUGUGAUUUGUAUAGUAUAAUGUUCCCCAGUGCCUUGUUUAUAUGCCCUGUAACUAUAAAUACUGUAUGUGUGAAGUAUAGUUUAUUUGGUUUUAUUGUGUAUUGUGUAGACAUGCAUUCAAGUUCAUGCAGUUGUGUGAGGAUGAUGGUGCUGCUUUGUAGUGCUGGGUGGCUGCACCCUUCUGAUCUUUUAUUAGUGAAGUCACAGCCAUGUUGAUAGGCUGUUUUGUCCUGUGCAGCACAUUAGCUAUUGAAGCCAUAUUAUUGUUUAUAGCCAAUGUAAUUGGAGGAUGUAUUAAGCUUAUACCUGCCAUUUACUAUUGCAUUUACAUUCCCCUUUUACUUUCACAACCACACACACUCUUGGUUAAAACAGUUGUCAAGCCAUACCUCAAAUUGCCUUAGCCCAUACACUGUGCUAUGCCGUUCCUGCUCUAUGUGAAUCAGCGUUAUUAAACCACCUCAACUGGAAUCCUACCUGUCUGUCAUCUGUGCCCUUACAAGUACCUGGGAGAGAACAUAUUAAGUGGUAAGAAAACCCUAAGAAUAUACAGUCCAACAGGUCCUCCACUUCAUUUUGGUCCAUUCGACACAGUGCUUUCUUCCAGAGCAAGCUGCAAGACUAGUAUGUGAGUGAAGCUUUCACACAGCCAUCAGUUUGUCCGAAGCGUCAGACACAGCUACCACAGCAUCUACAAAAU